rnacentral:lncRNA from 1 species
GUCGGCCCGCCCUCCCUGGGGACGCGGAGCGUGUUUGUGUUUGUGUUCGUGUCCGACACCACGCCCCUCCCACGUCCGCCUGGAAGGGCCCCCACACCUACCCCACCCCCGACUGCCACCACCUGGAGCAAAACUGAUCGCUGUCCCCUUUUCGUCCCUCAGCACCCGCAACCUCCGGUUCUUGUGCACGCACUUCCAGGGACUGGCAGCACGUCACCAUCACCUCCUGAGAAGAGCACUCCAAUUCUAUCAUAGAUUGGGUAUGGAAGAAGAUAAACCCCAUCUUGGAGAAAUCAGGUCUAGGAAAGAGCACCCAGGCCACAGCUACAACCCAUGGCCAGGUGGUCAAGGUGAGGCUCCCUUUAUAAUCCUAUGAGUAUUCUUAUGUCUCAGGGGACCAGAGCCAGGGCUGGUCAAUUUUUUAUCAUUCUCCCAUAUUUUUUAAAUUUGAAGGGUUAGAAUUCUCUCCAUGUGUCUUUAUCAGAGCAUAUAGUAGUCUGUUCCCCACUAUUUAAGUAAUGUCAUGAUGAAAUUCAGCACAUGUGAUUGCAACGUAGUAAGAUUCUUUCAGAAAUCAUAUGCCAUUAGACCAGAGAUAGACUCCCUGCACAGUUGGAAGGAGUAACUGAGGUGCCCUUUUCAACAGAUACUUUUACAGAAGCCCCCCCUUAUCCAUGGGAAAUGUGCUUCAAGACCCCCAGUAGAUGCCUGAAACCAUAAAUAGUACCAAACUCUACAUAUACUAUGAUUUUC